rnacentral:rRNA from 1 species
UGGGAUGACACUGACGCUCAUGCACGAAAGCGUGGGAGCAAACAGGAUUAGAUACCCUGGUAGUCCACGCCCUAAACGAUGUCAAUUAGCUGUUGGGGGUUUGAAUCCUUGGUAGCGAAGCUAACGCGUGAAAUUGACCGCCUGGGGAGUACGGCCGCAAGGUUAAAACUCAAAGGAAUUGACGGGGACCCGCACAAGCGGUGGAUGAUGUGGAUUAAUUCGAUGCAACGCGAAAAACCUUACCUGCUCUUGACAUGUAUCGAACGCCUGAGAGAUUAGGUGGUGCCCGAAAGGGAGCGAUAACACAGGUGCUGCAUGGCUGUCGUCAGCUCGUGUCGUGAGAUGUUGGGUUAAGUCCCGCAACGAGCGCAACCCUUGUCAUUAGUUGCCAUCCUUAAGUUGGGCACUCUAAUGAGACUGCCGGUGACAAACCGGAGGAAGGUGGGGAUGACGUCAAGUCCUCAUGGCCCUUAUGAGCAGGGCUUCACACGUCAUACAAUGGUCGGUACAGAGGGUCGCUAAGCCGCGAGGUGGUGCCAAUCUCAGAAAGCCGAUCGUAGUCCGGAUCGCACUCUGCAACUCGAGUGCGUGAAGUCGGAAUCGCUAGUAAUCGCAGAUCAGCAUGCUGCGGUGAAUACGUUCCCGGGUCUUGUACACACCGCCCGUCACACCAUGGGAGUGAGUUUCACCAGAAGUGGGUAGGCUAACCGUAAGGAGGCCGCUUACCACGGUGGGAUUCAUGACUGGGGUGAAGUCGUAACAAGGUAGCCGUAGGGGAGCCUGCGGCUGGAUCACCUCCUUUCUG